rnacentral:rRNA from 1 species
CCUACGGGCGGCAGCAGUAGGGAAUAUUGCUCAAUGGGGGAAACCCUGAAGCAGCAACGCCGCGUGAAGGAUGAAUGUUUUCGGAUUUUAAACUCCUUUUGUUAGAGAAAAUAAUGACGGUAUCUGACGAAUAAGCACCGGCGAUCUCCGUGCCAGCAGCCGCGGUAAUACGGAGGGUGCAAGCGUUACUCGGAGUCACUGGGCGUAAAGGGCGCGUAGGCGGGAUAGCAAGUCAGAUGUGAAAUGCUAUGGCUCAACCGUAGAACUGCAAUUGAAACUGGUAUUCUUGAGUACAGGAGAGGUAGGUGGAAUUCGUGGUGUAGGGGUAAAAUCCGUAGAGAUCACGAGGAAUUCUGAUUGCGAAGGCGACCUGCUAGAACAUCACUGACGUUGAUGCUCGAAAGCGUGGGUAGCAAACAGGAUUAGAUACCCCAGUAGUC